CAGCAAUCAUCGCUGACAUACUGGUUGAGUUGGACCGCCGACAGGAGGCGGAGAGACCACUGCACCAGCCUCCACCAGCAAUAAACUAGUCGGGAGAUUCUAUGGUGGGUGAAGAAGAAGAAGAAGAAGGUUUAAGUGUCGAGGUUGAAAUUCAGAAACCAUCGAUUCAGUCUUGCAACGUCAGCGAGCUACAUAGAUGGCUCGAAGGAGGGGGCGAAAUACUGAAGUGUGUACAUGAGAUGGUGGCUGCUGAGGAUGCUGAAAGGCAGCGCCAUCUCGCCCUUUUGGGUGAGGAGGAAAUACUGGACUGGGUGGAGGAACUACCAGAAAGCCCAACUGAACUGUUCAAGCCUGGAACCCAGAGUGUAAAAGGCAACCGUC